rnacentral:rRNA from 1 species
AGCAGUCGCCACGGGAAUACGUAGGUGGCAAGCGUUGUCCGGAAUUAUUGGGCGUAAAGGGCUCGCAGGCGGUUUCUUAAGUCCGAUGUGAAAGCCCCCGGCUCAACCGGGGAGGGUCAUUGGAAACUGGGGAACUUGAGUGCAGAAGAGGAGAGUGGAAUUCCACGUGUAGCGGUGAAAUGCGUAGAGAUGUGGAGGAACACCAGUGGCGGAGGCGACUCUCUGGUCUGUAACUGACGCUGAGGAGCGAAAGCGUGGGGAGCGAACAGGAUUAGAUACCCCUGUAGUCCCUGUCUCUUAUAC